rnacentral:lncRNA from 1 species
UUUUUUUUUUUGUGGCGCACACAUGGCCACCAAAGCAAGCUUCGCUGUUCAAAUUUUGCAGCCUCGGCGAGAGUGGACAGGGACGCAAGAGUGCAAGUACAGAGAGGGCGCAGACUUGGAAGACCUCUACAGACAGACUCUCUGCUCCCAAGUUUUCCAAUGCCAACCGUGUCAUGCAUGGAAAAAAAUCAAUGAGCUCAGCGAGUCUUGUACGCCAGUUCUUGUGGACAACACACGUAUGCAUGCAAAGUUUGGAAUUCCAAGCUCUCAUGCCGCGUGACAACAGGAACUGAACCCUCAAUUUCAGGAGAAACUGGUUCACAAGUCAGUAAGUUUUAGAGGGCAAGAAGAUGAUACAAUGGUAUCCUAUAGAAGUCCCCUAUGAAUACAUGGUACAACAAUUCCACCUUGAUGCCUCACGAUGACACAACUCAGACUAACACAAUGUAUUAGCCUCUCUAAUUGAUCAUCAUCCCUUAAUUCGCACUUCCUUUGUAGAGCUAAAUGAUAGGUUAGUAACUUAAAAUGGUUCCCCGUCAGUGCAGUGUGCCCCAAUUUUCUUCUCAGACAACAUAACUGUACCCAGUCAAGGCGACGACUGAUGAGAAAAGUUAAGAGUCAGCCAAGUUCCAGUGGCCUUCGUAUGUCACCUUUGAAGGAACUGAUUUCUCACGGUAUUGCAGAUCUCAUCUGCCACACCAGCGUUUUCAAGUAGGAAUUUCUCAGCUUCCGCCUUGCCAGGCAGGAACACGCCGUUGAUCCAAUACCCAGACCCAUCCUUCACAACAACUCCGACCGAAGAAGCCAUCUCCAGGGUCUCAGAUUCAUGGCAGAUCCCCUUCCCAAAUCUGAUGUCGAUGCCAGCUUCCUUCAGACUAGCUGGAGCUAAUUUGUUCUUGAUGACCUGCACUGAUAAAGCAAUGCCAGUAGCCUGCAUAAGCUGAUAAGCACAAUACAUUAGUAUCAAUUUAAGUUUGAUGUGUUAUCAUGAGGCUGUGUGUAAGACUCCCACCUGGUCUUCACUAUAGCGCAGUUCCCUUCUUGAAGUCCUCAUUCUGACUGCAGCAUAGAAUCCUAACGCGUUACCACCGCAAGGCACCUCCUUGUAGAUCCCAGGAAACUGAUUUGAGCUCAACUUUGUUCUGACCUAAAAAAUAACACCAAUAAAUAAAGCCAAAGUAAGGCAGAAAUAUCAUUGCCCAUAUGAUAAAAGAAAUAAACUUAAACGAUGUCAUACCUGAUUAACAAAAAUAAUAAGUGAUUCAGAACGACACAAAGUGUACUGAAUUUUCCUAAGCGCCCGAGUCAUCAAACGGGAUUGAAUGUCUUCAGAAUUCAUGUGUAUUUCGCCUUCCAUUUCACAUUUGGGAAUAAGUGCUGCCACCUAUCACAAGUCCAAUAAAAGCAAGGUAAACAAAUGUUACAUGGCGUCAGUACCCCGCACGUAAAGAGGUUGAUAUAGACAGUGGUAUGCAUCGGAAGCACAGAGAUGCCUAUCAGCAAUUCUCCAAAUAAAAUUCUAGCUUUGUGUUACUUGGGAAAGCUUACUCUUUAUAAUAAGUAAGGAACUGAAGACAUAACAGAAAAAUAUACUGAAAAUGACAGAGUGAAGUAACAUACACUAUCCACGACUACAACAGCAACAGAUCCACCAACAAGAGUGUUUACAAUGCUCAAAGAAUUCUCAGCAGAAUCAGGUUGGGCUAUUAAGAGCUUUUCACUGUCUACACCAAUGGCUUCCGCAAAUGAAGGGUUAAAGGCGUUUUCUGCAUCAAUAUAAGCACAAUAACCUGCAAAUAUGCGGCCAGUCACAGUGGCAAUCAAGUAUCAUUCCAUUCAGUUAUAAGAAAAGGAAAUAUUAAAUGUCUUGUGCAAACAAAGGCAAUAAGAAUUUUUUUUUCAAUAGAUUCGCCUACCUAAAUAGUAAGAACAGCAUUGCACUUGCUGAUAAUCUUUACCAAUGCUUGUAAAGUAAAGUAAUAAAAUCAGGUAAGCGGAUGAUAAAUGUAUUGAUAAAAGGUUACCAAUAAUACUAGGUACCACCCAAGUACAAAAUAAGUCAGUAAAAUGGAGAAAAGAUUUAGGAGUAUAAAACAAAAUUGUAAACAGAAAGAAUGAAAGAUGCACAAACAAAAAAAAUAGGAGAAAAAAAAAGGGUGUCAUAAAAGAAACUCGGACCUCCAUUUUUUUGAGCUUCCUUGACAACAUGAAGUGCAAGUGUUGUCUUCCCAGAUGCCUCUUUCCCAAAUAUCUCCACCAUUCUGCCCUGUAGAGAUACUCUAAUCAGUAAUUUGCCAAACAGGGCCAAAAAUACAUAAUGAACAACAUCAAGUUCCAUAUAAUCUACUGCCACGGAUCAAUUUCUCAUGGAAAUACUUCUAUUCAACAAAUUAUGCUGACCAGAGAAAGACAGCAAUGAAGACAUGGAAAAUUUGUUCCGGUGCUUAUACUUUUAUGAGCACAGGUGCUAAAGAAACAAACUGCACUUUUGUAGAGGCUAAGUAUAACUAAACUAGCAUGCUUACCAAUUGCAAAGAAAGGAACCUUCGCGAUAAAUUAACUAGUGACUCUUGAUGGUGAUUAGGUCGAUGCAUAGAGUAGAUAGGCAUCAAAAGAUACAAAGAACCACAUGACACACUCAAUGACUGUUGAACUCGCUGGUGUUGACAGGAAACUGUAUGGUAUCCAGUAAGUGUAUGAAGUUUGUUUCUUAUGUGUAAUAUCAACAGGAAAUAUGAAACAAUAAAGUGUAAAGUAAAUACGUCAAGAAAUCUAUAACAAUAAAGUAUCAUUCGUAUACUUAAAAAAGAUAUGGGAACACAUUAUGACCUUUGGCAAUCCUCCAAUGCCGAGAGCAAGAUCAAGCUUGAGAGAACCGGUAGAGAUGACAGACGCACGCCUUGUGCGGGAAAAUCGCUCCAAACAUAGGUUAGAUUCUCUAUCAAAAUCACUUGCAAGUUGAGAGACAGCAACAUUUAGUGAUGACUCCUUCUCAAGAGCUUUUGCUCCAUCAAGUGGGGGAUCACUCUCAUAGUCUAACUGCAUAUCAACUGGAAAUUUGUACAGAUUCCUGAGUAACAUUGCAACUCAUAAGGGAGUAUAGAUACAGAACACCAGAGAAUAACUGUAUGACAUUGGAAAUUAUCAAUUAUCUAGUACAUACUUUAACAAGUUGCUUCGUUCAGGAAUAGUAAAGGUGGGAUCUUUUAUGGUAGAAACAAUAACAUUAGCAAACAUUUGAGCAAGGAUUGGGUAAAUAGGUAUACCUGUAGUUGACAUUGAACAACCUUUAGACCAAAACGAACAAAGUGUCUCUCUUUUCCCAUUCUAGCAAAUCACAAAGAAGAAAAGGUGAUCAGAAAUCCUGCAAAUAUCUUGAGAUAUGAGCAAGUAAAGCAUUCUGGAACGCCACUAAUGAAGGUAUAAAGUCAGUGAGACAUAUACGAAACAGCAAAGCAGCACACAAACUAAAAGUUACCUUUCUCACCAAGUGGAAAAACGCUAUGGGAAUAGCACUAUUCGACAGUGCACAGUGCUUAUUUUCUCCGCUGUCAUACUGCUAUGCUAGUUGCUAGUAGCUUAUGCACAUUUUUAGAUAACUUUACGGUUAGCUACUUGUACACUCACGUUUAAUCCAAUACGGGCAAUUGAUGACAGAAACUAGCAAAUAAUCCUUCUCUGUCUAAUUGAAAAGUCUCCAUUACAACCAAAACAAAAUACAGAUCCCUAGCACAUAGCAACUAGCCACAAGCCCAGAAGCGACGGAGCGGCAGAGAGAUGUUGGGGCAAACCUGGUGGGGAAAGUGGCGGAGAGGAGAGGGUGCGGAUGCUGUGGCGUUACUCCAGCCCGCGCGGGAGAGCUGGGCGGCGGCGGCGCCGGCGGCUUGUCGGAGGAGAGUGGAGGAGGAGAGAAGCCCUCGCAUGGCGGCGGCGGUCGCGGAGUAGUGGGCCGCGCGUGCGCUGUGGAGACGCCUCCGUUCGCCUUUAGCGUGGGCUAGUCUUUCUUUCUUCUCUCUGUCGAAGCGUGAUUCGGCCCAAUAGCGAAGCGUGAUUCGGCCCAAUAACCUUGGAAGUUUUUUUUUUUGAUCUACAAUAACCUUGGAAGUUAACUUUCUUCGCUCCCGUCAUUCACACAACCUGUAAAUAACUUGUCUUAAAAAAAAUACAUGUAAAUAACUUAAAGAGAAUAGUACAUUCAGCCAACUGAUUUUUUAACACUUCUUUGCAUGCCUGAAACAACUUUUUGCACCAUUGUAAACUAAAACAUUAUAAGUUUUGAAAAGAAACUAGCAACUAAAACAUUACAAUAAAAAAUGAAGAAUAAGGUGGGAGGAGGUGCGUGGAAAGCGAAAUGGACAAUUUACGUAAUUUAGUGUAUUGCGAUGUUAAGAUACAAAUUUUGGAGGAAAUUAAAAACAAGGCAAUAUGUUAAUAUAAGACAUGAAACGCACAAAUACAAAAUAAUCACACAUCACAUAAACCAUAACCUAUCGCUGUACAUGACGCCAAAUUACAACCAUAAAUACCAUGAAGGAGCACAAACAAAACCAGUUUAGCUGUCAAUAUUCGUGACGGGGCCUUGAAACAAAUAGCGGGCGUGGAGCACCCACGAUCCGAUGCUGAGCAGCAGCACGCCGCCAACGGCGACCGGAGUGCGUUAGAGUUUGAUCUCCACUUAUCUUAUAUUUUGAUUGGAGGUGCACAAUCAAUGAACCAACUCACGGUUGUAGGCUCUCAUCGUGCAGCGCUAUAAAGAGAGAAGUGGGGGUCGGGGCACGCACACGAAGUUCGUCGCCAUGCUCCACUUGCCCAUCUAAUAGAAACCCGAUCUACUAGGAUUUGUUCUCUUGAAUACCACAUCAUCUCUACUCAAUCAAAUAGCCAAGCAAGUGCUGCUGCACCAAUUAAAGCCUGAUUUCUAAGUUUCAAAGGAAAUCUUUUAGGAUUUCUAAGCUAGUAUCUACUCUAUGAUUGUACUGUACGCAUGCUAAUCCAUCGUAAGCAUUUCCUUUGGUAGCAACGGGGAUCUGUGAAGACGUCUAAAAAUACAAUGCAGAUCUCCCAAGUCCCAACGAUUAGCAUGGUCAGCCAGCCGUGUUAGCAUGGUCUGCCGGGGGAAGUGUGGAGGGCAGAGGAGAAACCCCGGUAACCUGGGCCACGGCACACGUAAAAUCGGCCUAAUCCCAGACAACGAGCCCGGCCUGCAACACCACCUUUCAUCAUUCAUUGUGGGCUUAUACCUUGUUGUAAAAUCAACGCUUGCGUGAUGAUGAUGAUGACACAGUAAGCCGCACAAUUAUGUGAAACGCGCAAAAUUUGGGCCCGGUAAAAACCACAUUACACGUCAACAUUAGUGAUGGGCCCUUGGAACCAGAACCGGGCGUGGAGCACCCACGCGCCAACGCUGAGCAACACCACGCCGCCGACGAGGACCGGCGUGUAGUUGAAGUUGUCCUCGGCGACGGGGUACGCCACCGGCAGGGAGAAGAGCACGGUGACGAGGGCCACCCAAGCGACGGCGACCCAGCCGACGAGGACACCAUGCUUGCCGAGGUGAAACGGCCCCGGAACGAAGGAUUUCCGGGCGGUGGUGACACGGAAGACGAUCGGCAGCGCGUAGGCGAUGUACUGCCCGACGGUCGCGAUGGACAGCAUCGCCUGGAACGCCACCUGGCUCCCCAACGACUGUCAACGAAGCACAAGAUGAGCCAUGUUAUGAGAUGGCAUGUAAGUGUAGUGCAACCACUUGAAGUUCUUCACACAUGAGGGCAGAGCACACACCGUGAGGGCCAUGAUGAACGCCACGGCCACGGAGAGCCAGACAACGUUGAAGGGAACCUCCUGCUUGUUCACCCGGUACCACACGUGCGAGAAUGGCAUCGCUCGGUCUCUGGAGAAGGCAUACCCCAUCCUGCAUGUCCAGCUUGGGUUUCAGAAAGAUGGACAAAGAAAAAACAAUGGAGGUAACUGUCACCACGCACCUUGAGUUGCUGGUUAUGCACGCACAGCCGCAGAGGAAGGUGGCGAUGGCGAUGAUUCCCAAGCAGACAAGCCCUCCGACGCCGGUGCCGAACCUCCUGUGGAAGGCGCCGUACAGUGCCUGAGCGACGGCGUACCCGCCGGCGUCGUUGCCGGGGUCCAGGAGGUACGGGAUGUCUGUCACCAGCGAUGCCAGGGCCACCAGGUAAAUCCAUCCGAACACGCUGGACAGAGCAACUGAAGUUAUGAUUCCCAUUGGGCCGCUCCAAUCAGCGUUCUUCGUCUCCUCCGUCUGCACUUGUGUAAACAGAGGCAUCAACAACAUUCGUGCCGCAUGCUUCUGUUAGUUUUUUUUGGUAAAUGUGCGAGUUCUUUGAUUAACUGAAAUUUGGCUCAACUGUUUUACCAUAUGCGCAGAUGCAUCGUAGCCAAUAACAGAGUACUGGCUCAUGAGCAACCCCACAGCUAGAAUGUAAGCCUUGUCAUGGAUCCCUGCGCUAUCGUCUACGUUGAAGUGGGUGAAUAUGAACCCAGCACUUGCUCUCUCCUUAGCAACUGAUGGGAUCAAGAUGACCAGAACAAUUAUACCUGCCAUGCAUCCUUCCGGUUAGUAAAGAUAAUGCUCAUGUAGCUAGCAUAUAUGGAUCGUCUACAACAAUCACAAAUAUGCAGUCGAGAGUGAUCGAACUUGGUGCCCCUUGCGCCUCUAUUUGCUCUCCUUGUUGUUAUUAACUAAUGCCGCGAAUCUUUCCGGGUCUUUUGGGAAAAAAAAAAGAUUGAUCAAAGUGUAUAUUCAAACGUCAUAAUCUUUUAAGGAAACCAGCUACAACAACUAUUUGUAGUUUUGCUUAAACUUUUUUUUCCAUGGAUACAAAUUUACAUUUGUUGUGAGAAGGAAAAAAAUGGCACACCUGCUGCGUUCCAAAAUGCUCCAAGUUGGCCAAGCCAUGCCAUGUAUUGGAUAGGGAGACUGUUGAUGAGUCCGUGGAUGACAAGGAUGGCACCAUAGAUGGCUAACACGACGUACUUGGAUGCCAUGUAGCCGCCACCGUUUAGUCCCCCUGUGCCAAGCAGGACCAUCACUUGCACAAGCUGCGCCAAGGAGAAGUCGAUGCUCGUGGUAGCAGCCCACUGUGUGGCAGUUGUUCAAUCAACAAGGUCAACGUGAUUAUUAAUGCAUUAGAGCAACUCCAAGAGGCUGCUAAUCUUACCUCUAAUACUUUUUUUUUAGGAAAAAAGAGAAAAAACGAACUCCAACAGUCCACCCAAACCUUCCCCAAUUUUUUAGCAACGCUAAAAAACAGCCUACCACCGCGUAUAUUUUAGCGUUGGUAUUCCUCCCCCAAUCCUGAUUCCCGCACACUCACGCGUCUCUUCCGAUGGGCCCAAUACGAUGACGUGGCCUGUUUUAAAAUAUUUGGGGCUAUUUAUUAGCGAUUUGCUGUGGAUUGAUAUGUUUUUGGGGGAAAUCUUUUUUGGAAGAACUCCCAAUACAUAGUUUUGGGGAAGAAUUUUUUGGAGUACUCUUGGAGUUGCUCUUACUCAUGGUGAUCUCGAAAACAUGAAUAUUCAAAUACUGCAGCAAGUCAGCAAUUUCAAAUUUUAGUUACUAAUUACUCCUACAUUUUUACACAUAACUUUAGUGCUUAUGUGAUUGAGGCAUCGAUAAAUUUUCAACCACCGAACCUGACUAUGUUAUAUACUCCAUCCGUCCCAAAAUACUAUUCUUUUUAGUUUUUUUAGAUAUAUAACUUUUGCUAUGUGUCUAAAAAUAGUAUAUAUCUAGGUAUAUAUCAAAAGUUAUGUAUCUAGAAAAAGUAAAAUAAAUAGUAAUCUAGGAUGGAGGAGGGUACUACUGAAUGUAAACUCAAAGUGUGCCCAGCCGGCUAGCAUAUGGAAGCAAACCCACAUGCCAGGAUGCCCGCUUAGCAGCCGGGUGACAGUCCAAGCACGCAAGACCAAAUUUAAGAUAACUCCCGAGCUAGUAUUAUCUAAAGAGAAGUCUGGUGUAGAUCGACCCCAUUAAAAUUACGGGGAUACUCAAAGGGGCAGCAUUCAUGAAUCAGCGAAGACCGGGCCACGGACAGCGUACCUGUCCCACGAUGUUGAACCUGUAAUGCAGGAUACAAGAUUGAACUUCAUUACGUUAUUCUUAAUGGUAGUUUCAUGCGUAUUAAAUAUAGUGACACAUCAGCUAAUUUGAUGACGUGGUAGAAAAUUUAAGAGGAAAGAGAAGUAACCAGUUUCAUCUAGAUGAAACUCUCUUGACAUGGAAACCAACUCUGAAUGUGUCUUGAAAUUAAAUGUUAAAUAGUGCCUAUGAAAUAGUAACACGAUGGUAUGCAUUGGAGGGGUAGUUUCAGACAGUUUCAUUUUUCUCUUGCUGAUGUGGUUAUCUUGAAAACAUCAAAAAGAAAUCUUCCCACUUGGAUUAACCUUAGACACGCUAGAUGAUUGGAGGAGUGGUUGCUUUUUGGCAUCCAUAACCUUUACAAAAGGAAUGUUAUAUAUUGCAUGACAAUGACAACUCGUACAAUGAUAAAGACUGAUAUCGUAGUUCAAAAUUUUAGCUUACAAGACGAUCGCUGCAAUCAUUUUAAUUCUCUCACUUCCUGAUCCGUCCCUCUUCCACGUCAUAAAAAAGUACUAUUUGUCGAAGCAUAAGACAACCUAUGAGAUUCCUAAUUUGUUCCAAUAUAUCUGCUAUAAUUUUUUUAGAAAAGAAUCACGAUAAAAAAUAGAACCGGAUCAUUGUCUGAUGUAUUGUUUGUUUCUUAUACUUGGUAGUUGGUACAAGAUUGAUCAUCGAUUUGGAGGUGUGUAAUGUAUACUUCUGAGCCAACUAUGAGCACAUACACCAAAAUGACAAAACAGAACGCACCAUCCAGUGACCCAGGAAGCGAGGGGAGCCCAUUCCUUGCCGGCGAGCUUGGCGCUCCAGUAGUAGAGCCCGCCGGAGGUCGGGUACGCCGAGCAGAUCUCCGCCAUGGACAGCGCCACACAGCCGUUGAACAAGGUCACCGCGAACCACCCGAGCGUCAUGGACACUGGGCCGCCGUAGCGCAGCCCGGUGUUGUACGUUAUCGUCACGCCCAUCAUCACGGAGAUGAUUGAGAAGGACAGGGCGAAGUUGGAGAGGACGCUACAAGCACGCAUGGAGUAGAAACAACACUCAGCAGCGAAGCACGACGAAGAAGAAGGUACAUGGGGUUCGUCGAAGCACUUACGAGAGGCCUCGCUUGAGCUCCUGCUUGUAGCCCAGCUGCUGCAGCCGCGCCCGGUCCGGAUCGGCCGCCGCCGCGUCGGCGGCGGUGAGCUCCAUGGAGCGGCGAGACACGGCCAUGCGCCGUCUCGGGCGCUCGGCCUCUGCAGGUGCCGCAGGUUUCCUCUGCAAUCUACUCAAGCUAGUCUGCUAGUAGUCAUCUUUUAGGAGCACAAGGAGUCAACGGAAAGACGAAAGAGUGGAAAUUUCGUAAGGCUGGCUGUGGCUGGUUCCGUCGACAUGUCAGAGUGCUAAGAUUCUUCAGUGCCGAUGCACUGUACGCAUCAUACGAAGACACGUAGUGUUGUAGUGAGCAUUAUUUCUUUCCGGGAAAGAGGUAAGCCGAGGAAAACAUGACAUCCCACUCUCACUCUGUUUUCUGUUUUGGACUAUUCUAUGCUACCUGGCGCUUGCAAGGAAGUGACAAAUACAGAACUGCUAACAUCGAAUGGAAGCUUAAAAUUUAACAAAGCCACAGUUUAUAUUGGAUGCUAUUUUGUUCUAUUAAUUUUUUGGCAACAUAAAAACUCAAAUUUACCUACCAUUCAAGAGAAAAUUGAAUUUAAAGUUUUGAAUUGAAAGACAUCUUUGCUCACCGAGUCCAACCAUAUAUUGACAUGUGUACGGUGAACAGUGAGAUAGAAAAGACGGAGUGGAGACCAUUGGCAGCAUAAGUCACAUGAGCAAAAUAUAAGAUUACAAUGACAUCACGCGUAACAUUGAGUUUCAUGCUCAUUGGUAUAAAUGAUGAGAGGAAAGUUGUCGUGGCAUGGUGGCGAUCGUUUGAGGAAGAAUACUAGAGAAGAUCGACGGACACGCGAUAGAUUGAUUAGGCCACGCACACCAUCUGAGCUUGUGCGAUUCAGCCUAACCUAAGACUAAUGAUGUACUCCCUCUGUCCCAAAUUAUAAUUCGUUUUGACUUUUCUAGAUACAUAACUUUCGAUAUACACCUUGGUACAUAUUAGUCUAAAUACAUAAUAAAAGUUGUGUAUCUAUAAAAAGCAAAACGAAUAGUAAUUUGGGACGGAGGGAGUAGCCAAUGGACCUGGUCCUGUUAUGAGCUUGGUUUCCUUCCAUAUUUUUAGUACGAUGGACCGCUUCUAUGCUGCACGAGCACCAGUAUUUUAUCUUGUGUCGAAAGAAACAAUCAAAUUAUGUUAUUAUUAGGCAAUACCAAACUUGAUGCCGGCAUAGGUAGGGUGGGCAUGCUUGUGUUUACAGCAGUAAGUGCAUGUAUGUAUAGAGCGUCCAUGUUUGUACUUAUAUUUUGAAAAAUAGAGCCAUGAACGGCGAAGCACAAUCGUGUUUAAAAAUAUUUCGGUCGUUUACAUUUGGCCCCUCUAAAUCUUCACUUUUGAGCUCCACCGCUGGAGAGAACAAAAUUAGGCGUCGACAUUGACGAUGGGCCCUUUGAACCAGAACCGGGCAUGGAGCAACCACGUGCCGACGCUGAGGAAUAGCACGCUCCCAACAGCGACCGGCGUGUAGUUGAAGUUGUCCUCGCCAACGGGAUACGCCACCGGCAGGCAGAAGAGCACGGUGACAAGGGCCACCCAGGCAACGGCAACCCAUCCGAUGACAUUUCCAAACUUUCCCAAGUGAAAUGGACCUGGAGUGAACGACUUCCGAGCCGUUGUUACACGAAAGAAGAUGGGCAAUGCGUAGGCCAUGUACAAACCGAUUGUCGUGAUGGACACCAUAGCCUGGAAUGCCACCUGGCUGCCCAGCGACUGGCAAGAAAAUAUAUCAAAGCAUGUAGACAAAUAAGACAGUCGUGGAUCUUAUUGUAUCAAUGGCUGACGGCACACGUAAUUACUUCCGUUCCAAAUUGUAGGUUGUUUGGACUUUUUACACUAUAUCUAGAUGCAUAAUAAUAUCUAUGAAUCUAGAAAAACUAAAACGACCUACAAUUUAGAACGGAUGGAGUAGAUAGUAAUGAGAGAUUACGCACCGUUAGGGACAUGAUGAACGCGAUGACCACUGAAAGCUGGAGUAGAUAGUAAUGAGAGAUUACGCACCGUUAGGGACAUGAUGAACGCGAUGACCACUGAAAGCCAGACGACAUUGAUGGGCACCUCUUUCUUGUUAAGCUGGUACCAUAUGCGGGAGAAUGGCAUCGCCCCGUCCCUGGAGAAGGCGUACCCCAUCCUGCACCAAUUUGUAGUAGUAGCUUUUAGGCUACCUCUUAGCAAAAGUUAUGUUAAAUUUUAAUGGCUUUAUUUCACCUACCUUGAGUUGGCGGUUACACAUGUAAUGCCGCAGAGGAAGAUGGCAAAUGCGAUGACGGCUAGGGAGGCGAGAGCCCCAACACCGCUGUUGUACCUUCUGUGGAAGGUGGUGUAAAGAGCCUGAGCGACGGCGUACCCACCGGCGUCGUUGCUAGGGCUCAAAAGAUAGGGAAUGUCUAUCGUUAGCGAUGCCAAGGCCACCAAAUAAAUCCAUCCAAACAUGGAUGCUAGAGCAACAGAAGCGACGAUCCCUAUCGAGCCACUCCGGUCAGCCUUCUUCGUUUCCUCUGACUGAUUAAUUUUCAAUUUUUAAAAGGAAUGAUCAACCUUGAUCAGCUUGUAUUACUGUGAUUGAAUGGUCAGUUUCUCAAUAUAAUGUUACUCCCUCCGUUCAAAAAUGUAGGUCGUCUUGACUUUUUUAGAAAGAUAGAUUUUAUUAUGUAUCUAUACAUCACCUUAUAUUCUUAUAUUUAAGUGCAUAGCAAAACCUAUGCAUCUAGAAAACCCAAAACGACCUACAUUUUGAAACGGAGGAAGUAUAUGACGUACCAUGUGAGCAGAUGUAUCAUAGCCGAGGAGGGAGUACUGGCUCAUCACCAUCCCCACAGCUAAAACAUAAGCCUUGCCUUGGAUUCCCAUGCCAUUGUCCAUGUUGAAGUGGGUGAAGAUGAACUCCACACCCGCUCUCUCCUUAGCAACCGCUGGAAGCAAGAUCACUAGCAUAAAUAUACCUACAAUCGAUCAAAAGCAAGCGAGUGACCACUGAUCAGAAUCCAAAUUAAACCUUGAUCUGUUAUCAUGGAACUGAAAGAGUAUGGAUCCGAUGGUGUGAAUGCAUUACUACCUGCGGUAUUCCAGAAGGCUCCGAGAUGGCCAAACCAUGACAGCCACUGAAUGGGGAGACAGUUGAUAAGGCCGUGUAGGACUAGGAUGCAACCGUAGAUGCCCAGCAAGACGUAUUUGGAGGCCAUGUAGCCGCCACCGUUGGCGCCCCCGGUGCCAAGCAGGAUGAUCACUUGGACAAGCUGCGCCAGCGAGAAGUCGACGCUCGCGAUGGCAGCCCACUGAUGAGUAAUCAAGUGUCAAUCAGUAUUCAGUAAGGUGAUUUAGUGCUUUAGUAGUCUAGUACUGGAGACUGCCAGUGCCACAUACCGUGCCACACUAUCAAGGUUUCGAGCAAUACUAUUUUCUUUUAUUGAAUGGAAUCGAGCGAUACUUCUAAAAAUUGCUACUCCCUCCGUUCCAAAUUGCUACUCCCUCCGUUUUAAAUUGUGAGUCGUUUUGAUUUUUUAGUUCAUAGAUACAUAUAAAAUAUAUCUAAGUGCAUAACAAAAACUAUACACUAAAAAACUAAAACGAUCUACAAUUUGAAAUGGAUGGAGUCCUGUGAAGUUGGAACGUACCUGUCCUACGAUGUUGAACCUGUACAACAUGACAGAAAACUGAACUUUAGACAUGCUAUAUGUAUGAUCAGAAAAUUCUCUCCUUUUUGUUUUAUAUUCUGAAAUACGACUAACAAAAUCAUUGAUUGGAAACAUAUAUUCUGAACAAACUAUGCAGUAGCUAGCAUCUCUUCACGUACAUAAUGAACUAAUGAUAUUAGGAUGGACAGCACGUACCAUCCAGUGACCCAGGAAGCGAGUGGAGCCCAGUCCUUGCCGGCGAGCUUGGCGCUCCAGUAGUAGAGACCGCCGGAGGUCGGGUACGCCGAACAGAUCUCCGCCAUGGACAGCGCCACGCAGCCGUUGAACGUGGCCACGACGAGCCAGCCCAGCGUCAUGGAGGCCGGGCCGCCGUAGCGCAGGCCGGUGUUGUACGUCGUCGUCACGCCCGUCAUCACGGAGAUGAUGGAGAACGACAACGCAAAGUUGGAGAUGACACUGUGUAUACAUGUACUCCAUCAUUCAAAAGCGAAUUUAAAAGAACGCAAGACGAAUGAAAUUGCAUGGAAAUUAAUCGAUCGAAGCGCGUACGAGAGGCCGCGCUUGAGCUCCUGCUUGUAUCCGAGCUCCUGCAGCCGAGCCCGGUCUGCGUCGUCGGCGACGGGCAGCUCGACGGAGCGGCGAGGCACGGCCAUUAUUGCUCUCAGCUAUCUAGUAUUGCUGAGCACUCCCUGAUCUCUGUCGGGGCUGGCUGCAGGUCGCUGCUACUUGCUUACAUACUACGCCCGUUGUUGACAGGGUCAGUGGCGCUUGAUAGUGAGCUUCUGUAAAUUAGUCCUAGAUGCACAAAGGAGUCAACAGACGGAGUGGAAAAGAGCCAUCGGCAGCGCCGCUCCGGCGUGUUGCGGUGCUGACGUACGUCUAAUUCCGCAUACUUUUUACAGAAGGGGAUAAGAUACUUUGUGUGUGUGUGUGUGUGUGUGUGUGUGUGUGUGUGUGUGUGUGUGUGUGUGUGUUUGAUAGAGUGUGUGCGCGCGCGCGCGCGCGUGUGCGGGGUGAAGACUACUUUGUAUGUGUGCUCUUACAAGAUAGGUCUAGUAACUUUAAGGGAUAUAAAUAUUAAAAGUUUGUGAAUAAUCUAGGACCAAUACCUAAUAAAUUAAAUUUUGUUAUCUUUUCUCGCGCAUUUGUUCAUAUUGACACAAUACUUGUAUGGAGGCUUCGUAAUCUUUAUUAUUCAAACAGUGAUAACUUUAAUUUACCAAUUAUUAUUCUUCUAUAUCUUUUUCAUUCUUGUUCGUACUUUUCCUCCCUUUGCGUGACAUGGACUGGUUUAUUUUUCGGAUAUUUUUGGACUUUCUCAUGUUUUAGGUUGAAAUUAUGGGCCCGAGCCUAGCCUAGUAAACACAACAGGUCGAAAACCUCAGCACGAUCCCGUCCAAUGCAUUUUUGGGUGGGUUAGUAAGAUCAAGCUAUUUUUGCCGAGUCGGGUCAGGUAGCACGUAGCACGUCUAUCCAAAAGACUGAACCAGCAAAUUUUAAUCUCCAUAAAGUCACCGCACACACUGGAAGGUGGGCCAUGGGCCCCCUAACCAAUGGAAAUCUCCAUUGCAUGAACAGUAAAUCUGCUAUUGUUCAUUGAUUUUUAAAGAAGAUUACCAUGGAUGCCCCCCCCCCCCCAAAUUAGCUACUCAAGCUCCGCCACUGACUGCACAUGUUCUUAUUUACAAUAUGCACGUCACCUACCACCACCGAAAGAAUAGUGCUACUUAUUUUCUGGAAUAAGUGAUUUAAUUAGAUGUAGAUUUAUAGCCACUUUAGGUUGUAGAUGAUGCAAGUUUAAUGGCUACUUUAGCAUAUUUUUCGUGACAUUUGUAGGCGAUUUAUGUUAAGAUGUGAAUGGUUACUUUGGGUUAUUUUUUUAAUGCUGGAUGUGGAUAAUUUUAGUAUAUAUUUUGGGAAUUAUUUUAGGCUAAUUUUUAUAAUGAUAUAUGCGAGUAUUUUGUUUAUAAAAUAGAACAGAUCAAAUGCCUACUAUUGUUACCGGUGAUCAGAGCAUAGUGAAUUAAUAACCAUAUAUUUUUAUUUUUUUUAAAUUAAUAUCUCUUCCUAAUCAUCGUAUAUUACUUGAUGGGCCAGUCCGAGAGAAUUUCUUUUCCUCAGAACACAUGGCCCAUGGCGUACUGGACCACGAGCCUGGGCAUCUCUCCUCAUGCUUGUAAAGAGAUGAAACAGAUCAUCUAUAGUGGCAUACACCAUUAUUAUGGAUUAUUACUACCGGUGGUCAAAAUUUUGGCCGAAAAUUUGAUCUUUUUGGUCAUGGCUGAAAUUUAGUAUUUGCUCAAAAUUUCGUUGUAUUCAUCAAAAGAUACAUAUUUCAAUCCAAAUUCGAUGUUUUUCGCUGGGACAAAAAAUGGAAAGCAAAAUCCCAAACCUUGGUUACCACAAGGCCACAAAACAUCCAUAAUGUAUACAUACGACCACAGAUCAAAUUGCACAGCUCGUAGUCGGAACUACGAUGUGCGGAUACUUGCGAAAGCUCUCAUAUCAGAUAUUGAUACUCAUUAGAUACUGUCAGUUGAUGAUCCUUCGAUACUUGUCGGACAAGUAUCGAAUAUUUUAAUAUAUUUUAAAAAAUAAAAUAAUUCCGAUGAUUUGUUGACACCUUGCCGAUUCUUCCCCUAUACCUAGAACCCCUAAACCCUUAUUCUACCUAUAAAUACAUUUUUUUCACCGCACUAACGAGGAAGAAUAAUAGAGGGUGUAAUGAAUUAUUAUAUAAAAUAUAAGCAAUCAUCUACACCAAUAACCUCUUUUAAUUGAUGCUUACAAAUUAUGUAUGUAUUUUAAUUUUUAUUUCUAUUAUAUAUUAUAUUAAAAAUAUAUAUUAGUGUAUCCUCCUAUCGGUGUUAUUCAAAAAAUAGCGUAUCGGAGAAUCGCGUACCCGUAUCCGUAGCAGGAAACUGAGCUUCCAUGAUUCGAGACCAUGUUACAGGUCAACAUUGGUGAUGGGUCAUCUACUGGGUCAAUACCGAAAAGGAUCCUUUUAGUGGAGGGAUAUAGCUAAAUUAUUGGACGCAUAUAAAGACAUUGCCUUAGUGACAGUCGGAGAUGGUUCCACAGUACUCUUUUGGAAGGAUCUUUGGAAUGGAACUGUGCCUUGACAAACUUAUCCUAAACUUUUCUCCUUUGCCAUAAAUUCCAACAUCACCUUCAAAGCUGCUGUCAAUAUGCCAGAACUCAUCCAAAAGUUUAACCUUCCUCUCACAGCUCAAGCUCAAGAGCAUUAACAUAUCAUUUGUGGAUGGGAUAGAUCAUUGGACGUACAUUUGGGGAAAUACCUUGUUCUCAACAUCUAAAGUGUAUAAAGCUUUAAUUGGACAGAGGGCCACAUAUCGUUAGAUCUGGAAGUCCAAAUGUCAGAUGAAAUGCAAGGUUUUCAUUUGGUUAUUGCUAAGGAUCGCCUCAAUACAAGAGAUCUUCUCCGAAGAAAGCGUAUGGACCUCAAUUCCUAUGCUUGUGAUUUAUGCAUUUUACAGAAGAGGGAGACAAUGGUACAUCUCUUUCUAUGAUGUAAUUUUGCCAAGGCCUAUUAGAACUUAAUUGGAGUUUCUGUAACCACCACUAGGCCGGUCUUGCAAAUAUUCAGGCUCAUCAAGGAUAAGCUUGUGAUACCUUUCUUCAUGAAAAUCAUUAUUCUGAUGACUUGGAGCAUCUGGACAAUAAGGAACAAUUGGAUGUUUAAUGGCAUUGAUCCCUCGGUGGACUUGUGCAAAAGGAAAUUCAAAUUUGAAUUCUCCUUACUACUCCAUAGAGCACGUCCUGCUUUGAUUCCUGCUAUGACUGAUUGGGUGCAAUCUUUGUAAUUUUCAUGAAACCUGUCUAUUGUUUUAGUUUUAGCUCUUCUUUAUUCAUGUUUUGUUUGUCAUACUCUGAAACUUUUUUUGGUUUUUUGUCCUAUUAACAUAUAAUCAGUAGGGGCUUGCCCCUCCUGUUCUCUAAGAAACAUUGGUGAUGGGUCCUUGGAACCAGAACCGGGCGUGGAGCACCCAGGAGCCGACACUGAGCAACAGCACGCCCCCGACGAGAACCGGCGUGUAGUUGAAGUUGUCCUCCGCGACGGGGUACGCCACCGGCAGGGAGAAGAGCACGGUGACGAGGGCCACCCAGGCGACGGCGACCCAACCGAUGAGGAGGCCAUAUCUUCCGAGGUGAAACGGCCCCGGAACGAAGGAUUUCCGGGCAGCGGUCACACGGAAGAAGAUGGGCAGCCCGUAGGCGAUGUAAUUCCCAACGGUCGCAACGGACAGCAUUGCCUGGAACGCCACCUGGCUCCCCAGCGACUGUCAGGAAGAAGCACAAAAUGGUCGAGAUGGAUCAUGUUCUUUUUUGACAUGGCAUGUAUGGUGUGCUGUACACUAAUGUGACCACUUGAAGUUCAGAUAUGAGCUGGAUCACAUACCGUGAGUGCCAUGAUGAAUGCCACAGCCACGGAGAGCCAGACGACGUUCAAGGGCACCUCCUGCUUGUUCACCCGGUACCAGACACGCGAGAACGGCAUCGCCCCGUCCCUGGAGAAGGCAUACCCCAUCCUCGAGUUGCUGGUUACGCACGCAGAGCCGCAGAGGAAGGUGGUGACCGCGAUGACUCCCAAGCACAGGAGCCCUCCGACGCCGCUGCCGUACCGCCUAUGGAAGGCGUCGUGCAGAGCCUGCGCGACGGCGUACCCGCCGGCGUCGUUGCCGGGGUCCAGGAGGUACGGGAUGUCCGUCACCAGUGAUGUCAGAGCGAGUAGGUAAAUCCAUCCGAACACGCUCGACAGAGCGACCGCGGUGACUAGCCCCAUCGGCCCGCUCCAGGCCGCGUUCUUCGUCUCCUCUGUCUGCACUUGUAAACGGAGCGAUCGAUUAGCAGUUUGAUGUGUACGCCAUGCGUGCAGGUGCAGUGCUUACCAUGUGUGCAGACGCGUCGUAGCCGAUGACAGAGUACUGGCUCAUCAGCAACCCAACGGCAAGAAUGUAAGCCUUGUUGUGGAUCCCCAUGCCAUUGUCUGUGUUGAAAUGUGUGAAGAUGAACUCCGAGCUUGCCCUUUCCUUAGCCACCGCCGGAAUCAAGAUCACCAGAACAAAUACACCUAACAUGCAUUAUGAAUAUAUAAAUCCAAAUUCAAAUCCUGCGUGUAUUUGUGAGAAAUAAGGUAUACCUGCGGUAUUCCAAAAUGCGCCUAGAUGGCCAAACCGUGCCAGCCACUGGAUAGGGAGGCCGUUCAUUAGUCCGUGUAUGACCAGGACGGCACCAUAGAUGGCCAGCACGACGAACUUGGACGCCAUGUAGCCGCCGCCGUUGAGUCCCCCGGUGCCGAGCAGGAUGAUCACUUGGACGAGCUGUGCCAAAGAGAAGUCCACGCUCGUGGUACCAGCCCACUGUGUGUGACAGUUCAACCAACAAGGUUAAUUAACAAACAUGAUUAAUGCAUUGAUUAAUUGCUCCCUAGCUCUUGUCAAGGAAAUGGUCAAUGUUGCAGUCAAACUUUUGAAUUCUAACCAUUUUAAUUAUUUCAAAAUAUUUAGAUCGUAAAGCUGAAAUUCUGACUAUUUUCAUCUCAUCACAAAUUCCUAGCAUCCUAUUAAUAUAUGUCCAUUUGAGUUCAAACCUCCCAUUCAUACUAGGCAAUGUGCCCACUAUCAACAUUGAGGGCUUGAGGCACUGUGGUGGGUGAGUGACUUGCAAAAAGGAAAAACAAACAAAGAAAAAAAAUAUGAACAAAUUUCAUUUUGGGAGAUGAUAUCGUUGGGUACAACGCCAUGCUUUGUCCUGACAGGAAGAAAACAAUAUAAUAUGCUUAGUGCCUGCAACUCAUGCGCUUGCAUAUGGCUUAGGUACCAUACCACUAGUAAAGGAUUGAGAGCGAACUACCUCGAUCAGAUUUUCAACCGUUAGAUCAACAUCAAAAUUCUAAAUGUCCAAUUAUUAAUAUUGCAAUUAUAAGCCACAUAAUUAGAGUGAUAUGUGACUGGCAGACUGAGCCACUGAAGGAUUUUCAAGAAAAUUCCUUAUUUGAUACUAGAAGAUGACAAAAAUUCUUUCUUGACACUGAAAAAUUUUCCAUCCCUAAUACGACACUGAGUUCUAUCUUUUAUUACUUAUUUGAUAUUUUCUCACUUUUGUCACAUAAGUCGAACAAAACAACCACCUCCAAAAUUCAUAAAACUUUUCUUGAUAAUAGAACAAAUGAAGAUGAGUCCAUUUUUGCUUAAAAAUGAACACGUACCUUUGCCAUUUUCAAAUUAAAAUUCACCCAAUCUGAUUACUUUUGAAGUAUAUUUGAUUUUUUAUGGUACCAAAAUACUUUCCAAAAAUUAUGGAAAAACAAAUAAUAUUCCUUACAUGAGAUGGAGUCAUUUAUAAAAUUAUUUUCUAUAAUAAGUUACAUAGAUAAUUACAAGGCUCUUUUAAAUUUUUCCAAAUUUAUGGCUCUUCAUAAUUCUCUAUGUAAGUUUUGUUAGGAAAUAAUUUAAUAAGUUCCAGCAUUUGAUGUGAGAAAUGUUAAUUAUUUUUUAUAAUUUUUAAAAGUGUUUUGGUGCCAUAAAAAUUCAGAUAACUUAUAAAGGUAGCCUAAGUUAGUGAAUUUUAAUUUUAAAAUCAUAAAGGUAUACUUGUCCUUUUAAUAAAUAUGGGUUCAUACAUUUGUUGUAUCACUAAAAAAAAUUUAUAAUUUUUGGAGGUGAUUUGGAGAUCAUUUCACCUGACUUGACUAACACAAGUGACGAAAAUGUCAAAUAAGGAAUGAAAUCUAGAAGUUGGUGUUAUAUUAGGAAGGACAAAAAUUUAGGAUCAAGAAAGGAAUUAACUCAUCUUCAAGUGUCAGAUAAGGAAUUCCUGUUUUUUGAAAGGGCGUCAAGGAAUUUUCAGACUCUUGAAAGUUGACAAACCUAAUAACCAAAUAAAACCUGAAAGUACGGCCUGCCGGCUUGCGUAUGGAAACAACAAUGCCACAUGCCAGGAUGCUAAUAGGUGCAGCCAGACGGCAGUCCAAACACGAGAGCAUGACCAAUAAUAUAGUAUACUAGCUAGCAUAUAAAUAUAAAUAGUAGGCACCAAAACAAAUCAUGGGAAGACUUUAUGGUUUUCCCAAGGACCUGGCGCGUACCUGCCCCACAAUGUUGAACCUGCAUGACACAAGAAACAAGAUAUAAACUUGAUUAGACAGGCUAGCUAAAAGUUUCUUUUAAUUUGGCAUUACCAACCACAAAAUACGGGAACUGAUUUCACCGUAGUUCAGAUAGUAGGUUUCUUAUGUUGAAACAAACCUACCUUUUUGAAUUUGAGUCAUCGACUCACUAUAGGUGUUCUUAUUUUUAUGAAUUUAAUCUAAGAAUUAUAGUGGUGAGUUUGCGUGCGUGUAUAUAAACGUCUAUGUAUGUAAUAUAUUUUUUAAAUAAAUAAAUACAGAAGCAUUGUGUGAUAUAAUUGUUCGUUUCUUAUACUGGGCACAAGAUUAUCUAUUGUAAAUGUAUAGGUAUUUUUUUCGCCAACUAUAUAUACAACACGGUAAAAUGAGAUUAAUAUCAGUCCCUCCUCCCAAAUUGUAGACCGUUAAACUUUUCUAGAUAUUUGUAUGCAUCUAAAUAUAAUACAUGUUUAGAUGCACUUACGAACAUCUAUAAACUAAAAAUGGUAAAAAUACCUGCAAUUUGAAACGGAGGGAGUAGAAAAUUAUGAACAGAACGUACCAUCCAGUGACCCAGGACGCGAGGGGAGCCCAUUCCUUGCCGGCGAGCUUGGCGCUCCAGUAGUAAAGCCCGCCAGAGGUCGGGUACGCCGAGCAGAUCUCCGCCAUGGACAGCGCGACGCAGCCGUUCAAGGCGGACACGACGAGCCAGCCCAGCGUCAUGGAGGCCGGGCCGCCGUAGCGCAGGCCGGUGUUGUACGUCGUCGUCACGCCCAUCAUCACGGAGAUGAUCGAGAAGGACAGAGCGAAGUUGGAGAGGACGCUAUCCACAUAUGAAAACACUCAGGAUUAAGCGGGAAAAAAAAAAAGAGGAGAGGUAGCGCGCUAGCGCAUGGCAUGGGGAUCGUCGAAGCACUUACGAGAGGCCGCGCUUGAGCUCCUGCUUGUAGCCCAGUUGGUGCAGCCGGGCGCGGUCUGGAUCGGCCGCCGCCGCGUCGGCAACGGGGAGCUCCUGCAGGGAGCAGCGAGGCACGGCCAUCGUCGUCAUCCUCUCCGCUGGUGGCCUGCCUGAUGCCGCAGGCAGACGACCGAAUGUUGCUGCUCUUUGCUUCCUGAUAGAAGUACUGCACCACUACUCUAGCUGAUAGGACAGGGUGACAGUUCCAUGGCGCUUAAAUUAUUAGCUUCUUAAUUAAAGCUAAUCUUAGAUGCCCAAGGAGUCAACGGAAAGAGUGGAAAUCUCGAAUGGUUGCCUCGUUCCGGCAUGUCAGAGUGCUAAUUAACAUCCCUUUUCAUAUGAUUGGAUUCUGGAUCUUUUGACUGAAGGGGAUGCGCCUGUGAUUGCGAUGAGCGAUGCCUAUGCACUGUACUUGUAGUCAUUACCUGUAAGCAUUUCUUUCCGAGAAGGUCCUAAUCCAUACUGGGACUCCAAGUGAACUCGACGAGGCAGAAAUGAUUCAAACGAAACGAAGCAAAUCGAUGGUACAGCGUGUUCAUGAUCUCAAUUCUCAUACACAUCACCACACUGUUAGGCCGCACGCGCACAGGCACAACCACCUUACGCCUCGCCGACGUUGGUGACGGGCCCUCGGAACCAGAACCGGGCGUGAAGCACCCACGCGCCGACGGUGAGCAGCAGCACGCCCCCGACGGCCGCCGGCGUGUAGUUGAAGUUGUCCUUGGCGACGGGGUACGCCACCGGCAGGCAGAACAGCACGGUGACGAGGGCCACCCAGAGGACGGCGGCCGAGCCGACGGCGACCCCGUAUCUCCCGAGGUGAAACGGCCCUGGAACGAAGGAUUUCCGGGCCGUCGUCACGCGGAAGAUGAUGGGCAGCGCGUAGGAGAUGUAGAGACCGAGCGUGGUGAUGGACACCAUGGCCUGGAACGCCACCUGGCUCCCCAGCGACUGUCGAGAAGAGAAGCAGAUAGGACUGAUUGCAUAUUAUAUUCAUGCUUGUGUGGUGUAAUCGGUUGCAGUUCAGAGAUGAGAUUCCACGCACCGUGAGGGCCAUGACGAACGCCACGGACACGGAGAGCCAGACGACGUUCAGGGGCACCUCCUGCUUGUUCACCCGAUGCCAAACAUGCGAGAACGGCAUCGCCCCGUCCCUGGAGAAGGCAUACCCCAUCCUCGAGUUGCUGGUCACGCAGGCGGUGCCGCAGAGGAAGACGGCGACGGCGAUGAUGCCCAGGCAGACGAUACCCCCGACGCCGCUGCCGUACCUCCGGUGAAAGGUGGUGUACAGAGCCUGGGCAAUGGCAUACCCGCCGGCGUCGUUGCUAGUGUCCAGGAAGUAGGGGAUGUCAGUCAUGACCGACGUCAGAGCCAGCAGGUAAAUCCAUCCGAAAAUGCUGGACAGUGCGACGGAGCUGACGAUCCCCAUCGGCCCGUUCCAGUCCGCGUUCUUGGUCUCCUCCGUCUGCACUUGUGUAAUCGGAUGUCAGAGCGACAAAAUGAUUUGAAAUGUGAUCGAUGAUGACGCGGAACAUGCUUGUGGCAUCCACGAUUUUAUUUUCUUUACCAUGUGAACAGAUGUGUCGUAUCCGAUGCUGGAGUACUGGCUCAUGAGCAAGCCCACGGCUAGGAUGUAAGGCUUGCUGUGGAUCCCCAAGGUGUUCUGUGUGUUGAAGUGGGUAAAGAUGAACUCCGCGCUCGCCCUCUCCUUCGCCACCGAUGGGAUCAAGAUCACCAGGAGAAAGACACCUGCAAUUUAGUCAGAUCACCAUCGAUCCCAAGUCCUGAAAUUAACAAUCAUAGAACUAUAUAUGAUCGUUGGUCUUGGACGUACCUGCUACGUUCCAGAAAGCUCCGAGCUGCCCAAACCAAGAAAGCCACUGGAUGGGCAGGCUGUUGAUGAGGCCAUGCACGAUCAGGAUGGCGGUGUAGAUGGCCAGCACGACGUACUUGGAGGCGAGGUAGCCGCCGCCGUUGGCUCCGCCGGUGCUAAGCAGGAUCAUCACCUGGAUAAGCUGCGCCAACGAGAAAUCCACGCUCGUGGUGCAAGCCCACUGCACGUCAUCAGAGGAAACAGAGUGUCAGUCAGCGUCCUGAUUACAGUAUAGUAAACUAAUGUCUGCACAGCAGGUCAUGUCCAAAGAUUACGGAUCCUGUGAGGUUGGAGUGUAGAGUAGUACCUGUCCCACAAUGUUGAACCUGUAAAACAGGGCACAAGAUAAAACUUAAUUAGAACUUGUAAAACAGGCGUCAUCCUUGCCAUCAUGGAUGAAAACAGCAGAAUUAGGUCCGUUUGGAUACCCCGUGCUAAAGUUUAGCACCUGUCACAUCGAAUGUUUGGAUGCUAAUCAGAAGUAUUAAACAUAGGCUAAUUAAAAAACUAAUUGCUGGAAUCUAAUUCGCGAGACGAAUCUAUUAGCCUAAUUAGUUCAUGAUUUGACAAUAUGGUGCUACAGUAACUAUUUGCUAAUGAUGAAUUAAUUAGGCUUAAUAGAUUCGUCUCGCGAAUUAGCACAGGGUUCUGUAAUUAGUUUUAUAAUUAGCUCAUGUUUAGUCCUCCUAAUUAGCAUUCGAACUCCGAUGUGAUAUUGCUAAAUUUUAGCAUCUAAGUAUCUAAACGCUCCCUUAAACCGUCCGGAUGGUCUCAGACGAUAAGUGGAAGCAUAUCUGAAUUUGAUUGUUCCUUAUUACUUGGCGCGAGAUUUGAUGCGAGAAAAAACGAAAUCUGAAGAGAACGUAGUACCAUCCGGUGAUCCAGGAAGCGAGGGGCGCCCAAUCCUUGCCGGCGAGCUUGGCGCUCCAGUAGUAGAGGCCGCCGGAGGUCGGGUACGCCGAGCAAAUCUCCGCCAUGGACAAGGCGACGCAGCCGUUGAACGUGGCCACGACGAGCCAGCCCAGCGUCAUGGACGCCGGGCCGCCGUAGCGCAGACCGGUGUUGUACGUCGUGGUGACGCCCGUCAGCACGGAGAUGAUAGCGAAGGAGAAGGCGAAGUUGGAAACAACACUAGCAGGAAAUCCAUACGGUUGUUAGAAAAAUUGGAACGGGAUCAGAAGCGACAAGAAGAAGGAACGAACUGAUGAAACUGCUUGAGCUUGCUGUGCAGAAACUUACGAGAGGCCGCGCUUGAGCUCCUGCUUGUAUCCCAGCUGCUGCAGCCGCGCCCGGUCGGCGUCGGCGGCCGGAUGAUCGGCCGCGGGCAGCCCGGCCUCGACGGUGCCCAUCGCCCUCUGCGGCUGCGGCGACAGAGUAUGCUCUCGUCUCUAUAGUCUCCGGUUGACAGGGUCAGUGCCGUUCUGUCGUAGUAGAUGCAGUAGCAGUCAGCAGAAGCGACUGAAAUCGCCACGGGAUGGCCAGCACGUGCAAGCUAAGUCCAGCGAAUCCCUUUCGUAUGAUUCGACAUGCUUUGACUCGGGGUGCUUGAUCUUAAGUUAAAGUUUCGUAUCGAAUCUUCGGAUGCUAAUUAGCUAAUUAGAAGAACUAAACAAGCUAAUUAUAAACUCCAUCUGUAUUUAUAAUUAGCUUUAGAAUUAAUAUAUAUGUAAUACUCCUAAUUAGUAUCUAAACAUUUGAUGUGAUAUGUACUGAAUUUUAGUCCGAACCGUCAGCUCGUAAGUAGGCGGCGAUACGCCGUGUACUGGCUGUAACCAUGACAUGCUUCAAGGUAGCAAGUAUUUCCACUUCCAUCCUUGGAAAAUGGAGGACGACGUAAAAGACGGAUGACAUGAUCGCACACGUCAGUUGGUCGUAGCGCCAUUAUCUAGCUAGUGCGAGUCCUGUUACGUUAAUGGGCCGAAUCCAGACUGGGAUGCUCACAGGCCAUUGGCCUUGGCCUACUUACGAGCGAUCGCUGGGCAGCAGCACCCUUGGGCCUUGCUUGGUUUUGACUUUAGAUAUUAAGUUCAUUUUACUCCCCUUACUUGUUUAUUUUGUCCGCUUAACCCUUUGAAGAAAAUUUAGGCUCAUUUUACUCAUCUAAACUAUUCCAUUUGAUUCAAUCUGCCCUAAUUAUAUUUAUUAUUUUCUAUUUCUUCACGUAAAAGUUGAGUUUUAAUUUCAUAUUUUGUCGACAUUAGAAAAAUAUAUUAGAAUUUUUUCAUGAUUACUUUUCAUACAGUUUUAUAUAUCUAAGAUCAAUUUCGUAUUAAAUAUUCCUAACCUAUGAAAAUAACCAUAAAAAAAUUCUUAGUAUAAUUUUUAACAUAAAGCAUCAUGUUUGAUAUCUGCUCACAAAAUUCAACUCGUGUAGAGAGAAACAAAAAAGAGAAAUCUAAUUAGAGGUAGAUUGGACAAAUGAAACAGUUCAAGGGAGUAAAGUAAGUCAAAAUUUUGUUCAUGGGGUUGAGCGGAUAAAGUAUAGGUGAGGGGAGUAAAAUGGAUGUUUUCCAGCCGAUUUUGCUGUCUAAAGAAAAGAUUAAUAAGUCAUUAAAGAAGAUCGAUGAGUGGACUCGACAAUCACUUCCAUGGCACGCGCAUGAUCAUACAUCACCACGCAACACAAUCAAUACAUAAAAAGCCAUGGAAUCGCAGCUGCAGACCCUGACUGAUGAAACAAACGUUAGAGCACAAGCGGUAGUGGCCACCUCACGCGUCGACGUUGGUGACGGGCCCUCGGAACCAGAACCGGGCGUGCAGCGCCCACGCGGCGAGGCUGAGCAGCAGCACGCCCCCGACGGCCGCCGGCGUGUAGUUGAAGUUGCCCACGGCGACGGGGUACGCCACCGGCAGGCAGAAGAGCACGGUGACGAGGGCCACCCAGGCCACGGCGACCCAGCCGACGGCGACGCCGUACCUCCCGAGGUGGAACGGCCCCGGCACGAACGAGCUCCGGGCCGCCGUUACGCGGAAGAAGAUGGGCAGCGCGUAGGCGAUGUACAUCCCCAGCGUCGUGAUGGACACCAUCGCCUGGAACGCCACCUGGCUCCCCAGCGACUGCCAUUGUUCAUCAACAGAAACGUGAUGAAACGACAUGAACAUAUUUUUUUUUCUACCUACAUCGUGGCAUGUAGUUCUAGAGAGACGAAAUCACACGACCGUGAGGGCCAUGACGAACGCCAUCGAGACGGAGAGCCACACGACGUUGAGCGGCACCUCCUGCUUGUUCACCUGGUACCAGACACGCGAGAACGGCAUCGCGCCGUCUCUCGAGAAGGCGUACCCCAUCCUGCAUAAAUGCACUUGCAGUACUGCAUUAGUGGCCAUGUUUUACCCUUAGUUUCUUUUGUUAGCAUGCGAUCGUGCACCUUGAGUUGCUGGUCACCGACGCCGUGCCGCAGAGGAAUAUGGCGACGGCCAUGGCGGCCAAGCAGGCGAUCCCCCCGACGCCGCUGCCGAACCUCCUGUGGAAAAUACUGUACAGGGCCUGGGCGAUGGCGUUCCCGCCGGCGUCGUUGUUUGGGUCCAGGAGGAAGGGGAUGUCGGUGACGAUGGAUGUUAGGGACACCAGGUAGAUCCAUCCGAAGACGCUCGACAGGGCAACUGAGACGACGAUCCCCAUUGGGCCACUCCAGGCCGCGUUCUUCGUCUCCUCGGACUGCAUUUAUUCGUAAAAAAAUACAAGGAUCAAAGUAAUCUUCAACCUUCAACUAAUAUCUUGUGUGUUACUACUAGCCUGCGUAUUUAUCUUGUGUGUUACUACUAGCCUGCGUAUUUUGUAUUAAGAAGGAAAAACGUUUCGCGGGUCAACCGGGCGCACGCACACGGAGAUGAAAUCUUAGAGUUACAUUUGAAAUUCAACAGAGCAACCAUGAGGAUUUACUACUAUUUACCAUGUGGGCGGAUGUGUCGUAUCCGAGGAGGGAGUAUUGGCUUGUCAGCAAACCAAUGGCUAGUGUAUAAACCUUGCUGUGGAUCCCCACACCAUUGUCGGUGUAGCAGUGAGUGAAAACAAACUCCAUGCUUGCCCUCUCCUUAGCAACCGCCGGAACCAAUACCGUCAAGGCAAAUACACCUGCGUUAUGAUCAUGUCACCGUAACCAUCGUGUAUGUGUGGGUGCAUCCACACAUGCUCGUAGAUGAAAAUAUAAGAAGAAGAAAAAAAGAAUCCAUUUCCACAUACCUGCAAGAUUCCAGAAGGCUCCAAGUUGGCCAAACCAUGCCAGCCAGUGGAUAGAGAGGCUGUUGAUCAGCCCGUGUAGGAUCAAGAUGGCGCAGUAGAUGGCCAGCACGACGUACUUGGAGGCCAUGUAUCCGCCACCAUUGGCUCCGCCGGUGCUAAGCAAGACGAUCACCUGGACGAACUGUGCUAGCGAGAAGUCCACGCUCGCGGUGCAAGCCCACUGUGUGUGUGACAGGUUACCCAAAGAAAGUAGAGUGUCAAUGGACUCAUGAGUCAUGUCCUGACUCCUGACUAAUAACGAUUCAGAUAAUCCCAUGCUUCAGUCUUCCAAUGAUUCAGGUAGAGAAUCGGAGACAUGCCAGUGGAAUGACGUGCACUAGCGGCCAGAGGACAGUUCUGCUCAACUUGACUGCAUUGAGCUCAGCUGCAGUAGUUGCUGACUGCUGUUACGGCACGCUACUGAUGAGUAUACCAAAAAUCUUGGAUGUUCAUUUUUAGAGGCAACCUUUUCACGAAAAAAUAUCUUUUAGAGAGAACCGUACGUCUAACUGGAUGAUCCGUUACCAUAUAUGGUGUCUUUGCAUUGGCUAUGCGUUGUAAUUUUAAUUUUACAGUUCAAUGCUUAAUUAGUCUACACCUUUGACUCAAAAGAUCAAGCAGACGUAACACUGGAACCUAGUCCAAGUUGGCUGCCUGCCUAAGAAUUGUAGCUAGCAGCUGAUGGAUUCGGUGAAAUGAAAGCGUACCUGGCCCACGAUGUUGAACCUGCGCAACAUGACACAGGAUUAAACAUAGUAACUAGUACUUGACGGACGAUCAUUAGAGAAAACGUCAUUUUUGUCGUCUUCACUGUGAAAGUAACAUAAAUAAAACGAAAAGGUAUCCUAAUUCAACAGGUGGAUAAAAAAACGGAGUCGUGCGUUACCAUCCGGUGACCCAGGAAGCGAGAGGCGCCCAGUCCUCGCCGGCGAGCUUGGCGCUCCAGUAGUAGAGCCCGCCGGAGGUCGGGUACGCCGAGCAGAUCUCCGCCAUGGACAGCGCCACGCAGCCGUUGAACGCCGCCACGACGAGCCAGCCCAGCGUCAUGGACGCCGGCCCGCCGUAGCGCAGGCCGGUGUUGUAGGUCGUCGUCACGCCCGCCAGCACGGAGAUGAUGGAGAAGGAGAAGGCGAAGUUGGAGAGGAGGCUACGACGACGUGAGACCCAGCUGGGUAAGAAAUUGCUCGAGGGACCUGGAACGAAACUACAUGGUGUGCAGAACACGUACGAGAGGCCGCGCUUGAGCUCCUGCUUGUAUCCGAGCUGCUGCAGCCGCGCUCGGUCGGCGUCGGCGACGGGCAGCUCGAGCUCGGCGGCGGAGCGAGGAGACAUCGUGCGUUGUCUAAAGGCACUCUGCAGGCUGCAGCAGUGUACGUAGUGCAGGUUGCUAGCUACUCGCUGCUCCCGGGACUCGGGUUGACAGGGCCACUAGAGCUCACUACUAGUAGUGUCUGUGCCUAGCAGUAGGCUUCAGUUCACCUGGAAUUAUUAGAGAUUUUUCUUCAUGCGUAACAAGGUAGCAGUGAAAGUCAACAGAACGACCGGAACUGUGAAAAUUAGCAACGCAUGGUUGCACUUGCACCGCUUGGGCAAGUCCAUCCGUUUCGACCGAUGAUUGCACUUCGCAUUUCUUGACUGACUUGAAGGGGGUAACUUAGUUGUAUGAUUGCGAUGAUUGGUGUACCGUCAGCUGCAUCAGUUCAGUUGAUCCUCACGCUCAGAUCUUUCAGCUCUACUUGCUCUGAAUUCAACUUGAAUUUUAAUGACGGGUGCAACUAUUAUUCGUAUCCCACCCAAAACUAGCUAGUGUUCAACAAUUCAAAUUCAAACGUCCCAGCCAGGACCACCGAGAACAGUCACACUAACGAGCACAAAAAUGAACUUGCAAACCGAUAGUAUAUUGAGGCAAUUCCUUAUACACCACUAAAAAAAGUUUGUAAUUCCAUAUGUACCACUAGAAAAGUUCUGACGCCACUGGUGCCAUCAGUUCAAUUUUGUUCAGUGGGAACGGGAGCUCACGGCGUGCCGAAAUGUCCAUUUUCGCCUUCUACUCCCCUUCUCUUCUCUCUGCCUCGCACGAUUUCGUCUAGCUGACGCCGCUCAUCGCUCCGGCCUGCACUCUUCUUCAUCUUGGGCUCAGCCUCCGGAGUUCGGGGACCCCAGCCGGCCGUCCAACUUCGCUCGCUGCGCUGUCGGCCGCCCUCGCCAGCGCCGUGUUCCCGCUGGCGGCGCGGCUCGACUCCUCCCGUCCUCCCGCGAGUGGGCUGUCUCCGUGCUUGCCGUCUUCGUGUCCUCGGACACAGCGUGCCAAUUCCUGGUGUUGCAGACUCGCAGCAGUCCGCCACGCCUCCGCCGUCGUUGUGCAAAUUGUGCCCCACCUCUGCCGCGUGCUAGAGUCCGGCGGUGCCGGGCUGCCGCGGCGUCCCACGACGCGACCGUGAGCGGGAGCAGCGCCGCCCGCAACGCUACUCGUUGCCUGCACGGGCAGGACAUCCGCCACCCAGGCCACGGCGGUUGGGGCGCUCCGGAACCUAGCCGCAUUCCCGGACCUCCUCCCGUGGUUCCGCGACGACCGACGAGGGCGCGCUGCCACUCCUGCUGCAGGCUGCAGCAGGUCUCCCUCGGCACCCUGCGCGCGUGGAGCUGUGUAGCCCUCUGCCUCCAGAACCUGACCGCGCCAGCGACUGUGUGAUGAGGGGCAGCAGCUCCAGGUCGAGGCUUACAGAUGGGCCCAAAGCUGUAAGAGGGGCAUCAAGCAAGACGAAGCGGCAUACUGACUGACUGAAUAAUGACCGGUGAACUGAAAUGAAACGAUGGAAGGGCCAAAUGGCCAUUUGUGAAAAGAACUGACACGCAAUUGGAGUUUCACGGCAACAGAGCUGACGGUAAUGGACGGCAGUGGCACCGAGGUAUCCAAAAAAUUGAUACGACGGUUGGAAAGGUAACAAAACUUUUUUAAUGGCACGUAAGGAAUUGUGAACUUUUUUGGCUCAUAAGGAAUAGCCUCUAGUAUAUUAGCAUGUGCGAUCAACCGUGAACGAUCAGUCGGUUGUUCAGCCAGGGCGCACGGCAAUCGCUUAUCAGUUUUUGCAAAAGAUUUUUUUUAUUACAGACAGCAAUUCCACACAAUAACUACAAGGCUGCCUUCAUAUUUUAGCACCAAUGUGAAUUGCGACAGAGAAAUAGCACCAAAGCAUUUCCAUGUCAAAAAUUACAACAUGAACAAAUAGAUAAGUUCCACACGCCCCACUUUAGGAUUAACAUACCACUUCGAGGUACCACUUGGCAUUCUCAAACAAGCAUUUCCGCCCGC